UACAUAGGGCUCAAGCGUUGUUCGGAAUCAUUGGGCGUAAAGGGUGCGUAGGUGGCUCGCUAAGUCAGGUGUGAAAUCUCGGGGCUUAACUCCGAAACUGCAUUUGAUACUGGCGUGCUUGAGGACUGGAGAGGAGACUGGAAUUCAUGGUGUAGCAGUGAAAUGCGUAGAGAUCAUGAGGAAGACCAGUGGCGAAGGCGGGUCUCUGGACAGUUCCUGACACUGAGGCACGAGGGCCAGGGGAGCAAACGGG
rnacentral:rRNA from 1 species